rnacentral:rRNA from 1 species
GAUGAACGCUGGCGGCGUGCCUAAUACAUGCAAGUCGAGCGAACAGACGAGGAGCUUGCUCCUCUGACGUUAGCGGCGGACGGGUGAGUAACACGUGGAUAACCUACCUAUAAGACUGGGAUAUCUUCGGGAAACCGGAGCUAAUACCGGAUAAUAUAUUGAACCGCAUGGUUCAAUAGUGAAAGACGGUUUUGCUGUCACUUAUAGAUGGAUCCGCGCCGCAUUAGCUAGUUGGUAAGGUAACGGCUUACCAAGGCAACGAUGCGUAGCCGACCUGAGAGGGUGAUCGGCCACACUGGAACUGAGACACGGUCCAGACUCCUACGGGAGGCAGCAGUAGGGAAUCUUCCGCAAUGGGCGAAAGCCUGACGGAGCAACGCCGCGUGAGUGAUGAAGGUCUUCGGAUCGUAAAACUCUGUUAUUAGGGAAGAACAAAUGUGUAAGUAACUAUGCACGUCUGGACGGUACCUAAUCAGAAAACCACGGCUAACUACGU